CACGUGGCCCAUGUAGGGACACAAGGUGUGGGCCCUCCUGUGGCCAUGAUGUUAAGGCCACACCUGCUUAUGACAGACAGGAAGGGAGCAUGGAGCCGUGACUUCAGGGGUUGCGUAAGACUGCAACAGGAAGGGGCUUGCUCUCUGACUUUCACUGUGAACGUUCCACUUCAACAAAAUAUUGGAUAUGGAUUAUUUGUGUCAACAAGAACCACAAGUGACACAAGUCAGCAAGUCUGGGCUCCUAAAGGGGUAAGUUAUGCAAAACUUCCUUUCUGAGCAACAUCUUCUCCAGAAGCCUGUGUGCAUUAGUCACGUCCCCUUUCACUCCCGUGGUACCGCAGCCUCCUCUGCAGAGACUGGACCCUGAGCUGACAGACAGUCAGCCAUGCCUCCCCUGGGCCACCGGCCUCCGGCCAAACCAAGACAUGCAGUGGAGGUGGACUGGACAGCUCCACGUCGUCUGGAACUCUGGAUUGCAACCCCAACUUGGAAGGGCACUUCCUGUGCUUUUGGCACGAGUCACCUCACCUUGCUGGGCUUGUCUGUAACACAGCCGGCAGGGCUCGCGGCUGGGCUGCUGCCCAGGAUGCUUUUCUACCCGGAGACUGUGAUUCAGAGCUGGCAGUGAAUUCGGCUGGGAGGCCUGCCCCAGUGCCAUCAUUUAAGGGAAGCCCAUUGUGACAGCCAAGUUAAAAAGGGAAACAUGAAUUUCUGAGUCCCCGCCGGGUUCCUGGAACUUGCCUCUUUGAGACUUGUCUUCCUGAUCUCUAAAGCGGGGGCAGCACUUCUCAUGGCUCUUGGGAACUUAGAAUGAGCUUGUGACCUUGGGAUAAUAAUGUGUCCUCACUUGGUGGAUGUGAAAAUGCAGGGAGGAAAGCCACACAGCCAGGAAAUAGCCUUCAUGCGCUGUCUGUAUGUUUACCGUGUGCCUUCCCGGGGCAGACACUGUGCUGGGUUCUGAGGAUGGAGUGAUGCUGGACCCAGGUGCAGCCCCACCUGAGAAGUGCCCACAGCAUCCACUGCUGGGAGCUCAGGGGCCCCUGCUCACCGCAACUCCGGAGCCUGAGGCAA